AUUUGAAUUGGUGAACUUAGUAAAGUAGAUGGCUCUCACCAAUAGGGGCAGGCAUCAGCCAAUCUGUUGAAGGCCUGAAUAAAACAAAAAGGUAGAGGAAAGGAAAGUUUGCUUCUUCUCUUCUUGGUCUAGCAUAUCAUCUUCUCCUGCCCUUGGAUAUUAGUGCUCCUGGUUAGUGGGCCUUCAGACUUAAACCAGGAUUUACCCCUUUGGCUUCCCUGGUUCUCAGUUCUUCGGACUUGGACUGAAUUACACUGCCAGCUUUCCUGGUUCUCCAGCUUGCAGAUGGCAGAUCAUGGGACUUCUUGGCCUCCAUAAUUGUGGGCAAAAAGGAAAGAGACAAAACAGCAUGAGAUGAUGAGACCAAGUGAUGAAAAUUCAUUCACAAUGAUUACUUUCAAGAGUAAUUUCUCUUGGGUAAUUCAGCAGCCUGUUACUAUGGCUCUCUGGAGUGAUAGCUAAUGUAAAUGAAGCCACUAAAAGUGGAUUAUCCUGACAAGAAUAUACUCAACCAAUAAUGCAACAGAAAUCCAUUCAAAGCAUUUGGGAAAAAUUCAAAAGAAUAAAUAUUCUUUUUUUUUUUUUAAGUUAAUGACCUAUGAUCCAUUUCUUCCCUAACAAGCAGCAAGCACUUAAAAAUAUCCAGCCAGGAUGAAAUGGAAACGCACCUGACUUGUUAAUAUUUUUGUUUGGUUCCAGUGACUCAGAUUCUAAGCCAAAUUCUUUGAGUGAUCUUGGCAAACGUCUCGAAUUAUUUUUGCCAACUUUUCUUUAUCUUGGAAAAAAAAAAAAAAAAAGUUCCAUGAAUGGGUGUCAAGGGACCCAAAAUUGAUUAAUUUUUAAAAACCUUUCUUGCAGAUACGUAUGACACCCUAAAAAUUUUAUUAGAAACAAAUUUCAUAUCUCCAGGCCUUUCAUUGGGUCAGGUUGGCAUUUCACUGCCCUUUGUGUGUGUGACAAGUGAGAAUAGGGAAAGAAAAGAAACUCAAGUGAAGAAAACCAGAAUCUGUGCAGCAGAUCUGGGGUGUUUCAGCUGCUUCCCACCUACGUGCCUCAUCAAGCCACAGGACCAUCUCCUUGCUCAUCUUACACCCCGUGUGCAGGACAGGCCCACUAUUCGUUUAUCAGAACAAAGUCUCUCCCACUAUUCUGGUUCACUCUCCACUUAGCCAGAUAUCAAGAAUAUCUGCACAGAUGACCUGCCUCACCUGGGAGCUCAGAGGAGCUCAGAUUCCAUUACUAUCACACCAAUGACAGAUCUCCCAGCAACAAUGACAGAAAAGACUAACUGCCCCCAAAAUCUUCCCUCCAAAACACAGUUCUCUCCUCAUUCUCCCAAGAAACCGGAGUGUGACUGCUCACUUCUCUAAGGACCUGAAAACAAUUGGCCAUUUCAGUUAUUUAAAUCAACUUUAAAAAUUUCAACCCCCAAAAUAUUAAACCAUUUUGGUUGGAAUGAUAAAAUAACUAACUUGCUGACAGUUGCUUGGACUAUUUGCAGAAAUGGAAAAAAAUACUUCUAAUCAGGUCAAAUCACUCUUCCUUUGGGAUUCUAAAUUUACUCUUAUUCUCAAAGAAAUAUAUUCAGUCGUAGUCGGGAAAAUAGGAUUAUUCCUUUAGCUCAAUAAGCAACCAGAAGUUCUUUCUUCAAAUCUUGACAUUUAAUCAAUUAGAAAUUGAUUUUUUGGAAAACUGUUUCCUAUGAAGCUAUCGCUGCCUGUAGGAUUUUUCUUUUACAAUCCAGACUAUAGAAGGAAAUUCGCAACCUGGACUUUCACCUCCAUUGGUCAGAGUUUCGCUGACCAAUUCCCACCUCUGCCUUCCACCUAACAGAAGGUUUUGCCUCUGUUUUCUCUUCACAUACCCCAACAGUUACAAAUGGUUGUUAUUAUUAGGCAUCUUUUAUUUUGUGACCCCUGAUUAUAUGGUCCACUAAAUUUUGACCUAAUCACAAAAGAUUGGUAAAAUUUUUUAACAUAUUAAUAAUAUUUUUUUUAUGUGUCAGUAUCUUAGCAUGUAUCAAUUAAGACAGAGGUCUUAACAUUCUCUUUUUGAAAAAGAAUGUUAAGAUUCAGAGAUAUUAAGAGAUUCUCCCAGGAUUACAGUUAGAUAACAGAGCUGGAUUUUAGUCCAGGUCCGUCUACAACUCUAACAUAUGUAUACCCUUUGUAUAACAUGGCACGAAUUCAGCAUAAAGGGAUCUUCAGUCUUCUAAGUCAGGGGUCAGCAAACUUUUUCUAAAAAGGACCAAAAAGAAUAUUUCAGGCUUUGUGGACCCUAUGGUCUCUAUCACAACUGUUCAAAUCACCAUGUAGUGUAAAAGGAGCUAUAAACAAAAUAUAAACUAACCAAUGCAACUGUUUUAUGGGAUUUUUUUAACUCUUUCUUUACAAAAUCAGCUGGCAGGUCAGAUCUCACUUAUGGGCCAUAGUUCUCUGACCUCUGACCUGAUAAAAUCUUAAAUUUGUGGACAACAUUUAGACUGUGACCUGCUGAGUAAGAACGAGAAGCUCUGUCAAUUGAAGAUCAAGGCUGGAGCUAUGAAAGCAAAGAGCUGCCUGGUGUUAAUGAUAAGUGGAAUAGUUAAAGUUAGAAGAUUCCAGUUAUAAGAAGCUCAAAGAACAAUGACCAAUGAACAACUCCUGAAUAAGAAUGUCUGGACUUCUGGCUUGGGUACUCUGGUUGUAUGGUCCUGGCCAUGUUACCUAAUCUCCCCAGGCCUCCUUUUUCUUAUCAUUAAAUAAAGAUAAUAAAAGUAUUUUCCUCAGAGAGCUGUAAGAAUAAAAUGAGCUAACACAUGUCAAGCACAUAGAAUAGGGCCAAGCCUAUAUUAAUUUAUCAAUAAAUGCCAGAUACAUAUUAGUUC